GAAGGAAAAAAGCACAGAUAGCGAAGGCAUUGACCAAAUAAAAUGAUCGCUGUAUUGACGCCAUGUUUGCUUUGUGUAAUCCUUGUGCGCGCGCUGAAUCGCAUUAGCAAGAGCGCACGCGGAAACUGAAUUUGGCCACCUUAACUUCAUUUAUGUAUAACUACAGGUCUUACCUCUUUUGAACUUGCUCUCAUUUCUUUAUUCCGUGAUAAUGGCGUCAUGAGGUCGCUGAAACGUUGGGACAUUAUAUCGUUUUUAUUUAUGUGGCUCAAGAGCAUUAUUUUUAAAACCAUUAUUAGAAUUUUAGAUAUUAAACGGACAUGAUAAUCGAGGAGAAUUCAAACGCUGCAUUUCGCUAUAACUAAGGUACGGUGGAUAAAUGUAGACUUGGCGAAAUGAUAUGAAGAGUUUCGCCGAUGAAAAGAAGAAAAGACAUCACACAUAGCCAGGAGUUCCGUAGUCACUCAUAUUGUCCUGGAAAGGGAAGAAAAAAUCAAAUCAUAACGACACAUGGUAAUUUUGUUGGGCCACCCAUCUAACCCCACAUGACAGGGCUUAACUUAAGAGAUCUAAAUGGGAUGUGGUGCUUUUUUGUGGUAUAUUGACUUCAUCAGUGUUUUCCACGUUGAGCACAGCAUUGUAUUUCUAAGAUCUAGAGCUCGAAAGGUAACAAAGAAAGAAGAAAACAAAUUUCGAAACCCACAUGUGAAAUUGACCCCAGAACAUAAGACUAAAUGCAUACACUAACUGAACAUCACUUUUAGAUCUCUUUGAUCUGUGAACAAGCUACAUUAUGAAAACAAAUUUUCAUAUUCUGCAACGUAAAAUUCCCAGGAACUGUCAUUCAAAACAUGCAACAUUAUCCAGCCAUGACAACAAGAGACUGGCAAAAUUGCAGCAAAAUAAUUAUUUAACCCAAAAUUUGUUCGAAGCAAAAUGUCAUUCAUUUUCAUCCAUAUGCUCCAAGAAGCUCUGCAUUUUUUCAAAAUUUGUGUGCAGUUAUGUAUACACUACUGUAAAUACUACAAAAUUUAUAUUUCAUUAACCAAAGAUUGUUUAUUUUGUAUUUCCAGGGCAUAAAAAGAGCAGAAAUGUCCAAUGCAAUUGAUGUAUAUGUGAAUGGAACAGUUGGACAGGACACUGACAAAGACUCGUGGAAAGAGAUGUUUGAAACCCCGCCAGAACUGCUCAACGAGGUAUGCUUAAUUACUAAAUUCUGCCGACUUAUUAUUACUUCACUUACCCCCUCGUUUAUUCCAUGCUUACCAUCUCUCAUUAAUAGUACACUCAAAUCAAUUCUACAGCACCUACCUCUCAACAACGGCCAAAUUUUUUGGUCCCGGCGGACAGUCCAUACAUUCACUCUAAUUGCAUUCGAAAGAACGUAGUUCUAAUCAGGUAAUGGAGGAAAAUUGAGUUUUCCUGUGGACACCAAUUUGGCCUCCCCCAAAAAAAUUCUUCAGGGGCGAAUGAGGUCAUCUCCAUUUUCGUCCAUGUGCUUUCUUUCGAGUGUUGUGCAAUAUUGCGGACUUUCGAGCGUUGAGACAGCUUACUGUGGACUGUAGCGGAUAAGUUGUUUGAAGUCAGUGUUAAUGGCAUUUAAAAACCUUGCAGACAUGUCUUCACGCGUUGUGCACCCUCUUCUCUUCGACCAAAUGAAAACCAACGCUGCUUUUGAAUUGUGUACUUUUCACUUCACUGGCCUAGAUUUCUGUGCGCAAAAUAUGUAACAUAAACCUAACGAAAGUGUUACCAUGGGAAAAGAGUUCUCGCACAGGAUUACUUUGGUACACCAACAUGUCCUCCGUUUCAUUGUUUCGGAAGUGAAAAUGCUCAAUAGCAAUAGUUCGGUAACUGCAUAAUUGCCUAAGUUUUGGUAAAAAAAAAGCACGUCGUCUCGCAUACCGUCGGAACUGGCAUCGUUUGUGUCAAUUUACACGGUCCAGAAUCAUAGGUUUCCGGUCAGUAUAAAACAUUGGACCGCAGACUACGGACUGGGUAUAAGACACGAACUGAGGUAUAAAAGGUGGACUAAGCAUUACGGACUGGAUAUAAGACAUAGACUCGUGUAUAAAACGCAGAAUGUGGACUAAAUGCUGCCUACCGACUACAGUCCUUGUUUUAUACUGACCGGUCGAAACUAAUAUUAUGUAAUUCACGUACAAAUGAGAACAAACCCUCUCGUGUGUACGUGCUUUGCGGUCAAUUCAUUUGCUCUCGCCCCUCCUAGAGGGAAGCCAAUUUCACGUCUGCUUCAGGAUUGUUAUAAAAGCGCUAUGUCUCAGUUGGAUAAGUAGACUCUUAAAUAACACUCAUGACACCUGGACGGCAAUCCCUAAUUACUACUUCGAUGAACAUGGCGGACUCCUUUUUCUUCUAAACUGUAAUUACAGUGUCGUGAAAUUAGAUAGAAAAAUCCCUCUCUUUUAUCGAGAACUCCUUGAUCACUUUCAAGAACUGCGUAGCAAUUACGAAGAUCCCUUGAAACGCGAAUUCAUUCUGUGGAACAACAGAGAUAUAACUAUAGAAAACAAAUCGGUCUUUUGGAAGGCGUGGCGGGAUGGCAAUGUUCUUUUUGUGCAAGAUUUGCUGAACAA